ensembl:lncRNA
UUUUGAUUGUAAAAGUAGCGAAGUAGAUUACAAGGUGUAAAUUGUACUCAAGUAUGAGUAAAAUUACACACUUGAAGAAAAUACUCAUAAAAGUACAAGUGCCCAAAAAAUCUACUCAAUUACAGCGACGUGAGUAUUUGUAGUUCGUUACUCCCACCCCUGCUUCUAACUUCUGUAAACCAACCAGGUUCUCUGCAUCUGCACCACUGCAGUAGUUCCCACACCUUUUCUGUCGGGGCCCCUUUGAGGAAGCAGACGGUUUGGCACUAAACUGAUUACUAUCAACAACUUCUCCAUUUACACUAUAUGAGUCACGGCCCAAUAGGGCGAUGAGCCAACACGCUUGAACCCCAAAGACGUGAAGCUUUAUGAUUGGUCGGUAGAACAGUAGAGUGGGAGUUUAGUCAGUCUAUUUCAUUUCUGUAAGAGUGUACUCAUAAUCAGAUGAAUGGUGUUUCAGGUCCUUCACACGUGUGAACGCACCUUCACAGAGAAAGAGAAAGAACCAGCACGUGGUCUGAGACCGUUAUUUUAUUCUUAACUUUGUAAAUGAGUUCUGAUGAACUUCACAGACUGAGGAGUUUACUUCUUCAGUUCACAUCACUCAAGACGUCCAAGGGAGGAGAUGAUCUGCAGCAUCCUGGUGAUCUUCAUCCUGACCUCCUGUGUCUGUGCAGGGUCAUUUGUAGUGAAUGUGACACAGAGCUGGUAUCAUGCAGAGGAGAACCACAACAUCUCACUGGAAUGGAUGUUCCCCACCAGCACGGACCCCUCCCCCAACGUCCUUCAUGUCUACUGUGUGAUGUUAGCUGAUGAGAGACCCUCACUCAUGUUUCAUCUGUAUGAAGGUGUCGAGGUCCCACAGAUUCAGGAUGAACGCUUUACAGGACGACUCCAGUGGGACAAAGACGUCCUCAGAGAAGGACGACUCAGACUUCACAUCUCCAGACUCCAGACUAAUGACUCGGGGCUGUACUGGUGUCAAGUGGACACAAGUUAUGGGAAGAACUUUAAGGAAUGUCACCUCAAGGUCACUGCAGUGAAGGAUCGACCCGAACCUGAGACAACGAGUGACACCAGACUGAGAAGAGAAAGGGAAAGCAUCGUUCUCUACUGUGCACUGGGACUGACAGCAGCUCUACUGGGAUGUUUCUUUAUUUUCUAUCUGCAUAUCAAAGAAAGAUUAGUGAUCAGCACAACAAAUGAUACAUCGUUGUUAAAUUCAUCUAAGUUUUUGCACAGAAAGUGUCCAACGUCUGACAUCAAAGUAUAAAUGUGUGAUAAUUUACUGUGUACAAGUCAAAUUAAAUGUUUUCGUUACAUCUCUUUCUUUUUUUAUCAGAAGAACAGAGACCGACCUUCGUGAUCUACCAUUUAAUAUUCUGCUUUUACGAGAAAUUAUUUUCCUUACGUUACGUAAAGAAUUUAAAGAGUCUCUUGCAUCAUCUUUAAAACUGCUUUAAUCCACCACAUGAGGGAUGACGUGUGCGUGUACUCCAGUUUACGCUGUGAAUAAACAAUGAGGACACGUGAAGGACAGACGUUAUGAGGCAUGAUGGGACAUAUCUAGCAGCUUGGGGACCAAUGGGUGUCCAUCAGGGAGCAGAUGUUCAACUAGAUGACGAUACCCAUAGACAUAAUAUACAUAGACGCCGCAUUGGCUUCGGGUCGCGAGAAACAAGGCCGCCAUCUUGUAGCGGUGGUGCUCGUAGUAGCGUAGCAGCAGAAGAUGCAGGAGGCCACAGCACUGUGCUGCUUAUUUCUGCGCUAAUCG